rnacentral:rRNA from 1 species
UACGGAGGGUGCGAGCGUUGUUCGGAAUCACUGGGCGUAAAGGGCGUGUAGGCGGUCUGUUAAGUCUGAUGUGAAAGCCCGGGGCUCACCCCCGGAAGUGCAUUGGAUACUGGCGGACUCGAGUCCCGGAGAGGAGGGUGGAAUUCCUGGUGUAGCGGUGAAAUGCGUAGAUAUCAGGAGGAACACCGGUGGCGAAGGCGGCUUUCUGGACAGAAACUGACGCUGAUGCGCGAAAGCUAGGGGAGCAAACAGG